AAAUGAAUAGACGGGGACCCGCACAAGCAGUGGAGUAUGUGGUUUAAUUCGAAGCAACGCGAAGAACCUUACCAGAACUUGACAUGCCCUGAAUUACCCUUAAUAGGGGAAGUCCUUCGGGACAGGGACACAGGUGGUGCAUGGUUGUCGUCAGCUCGUGUCGUGAGAUGUUGGGUUAAGUCCCGCAACGAGCGCAACCCUUAUCGUCAGUUGCCAGCAGGUAAAGCUGGGCACUCUGGCGGGACUGCCGACGGAUAAGUCGGAGGAAGGUGGGGAUGACGUCAAAUCAUCAUGCCCCUUAUGUUCUGGGCUACACACGUACUACAAUGGCCGCUCACAAUGGGAAGCGAUAUAGCGAUAUGGAGCAAAUCCCCAAAAGCGGUCCCAGUUCAGAUUGCAGGCUGCAACUCGCCUGUAUGAAGGCGGAAUUGCUAGUAAUCGCGGAUCAGCAUGCCGCGGUGAAUACGUUCCCGGGUCUUGUACACACCGCCCGU
rnacentral:rRNA from 1 species